UACGUAGGGGGCAAGCGUUGUCCGGAUCUAUUGGGCGUAAAGAGCGUGUAGGCAGCCGCACAGGUCCGUUGUGAAAACUGGAGGCUUAACCUCCAGACGUCGAUGGAAACCGUGCGGCUAGAGUCCGGAAGAGGAGAAUGGAAUUCCUGGUGUAGCGGUGAAAUGCGCAGAUAUCAGGAAGAACACCCGUGGCUAAGGCGGUUCUCUAGUACGGUACUGACGCUGAGACGCGAAAGCGUGGGGAGCGAACAGG
rnacentral:rRNA from 1 species